GACCAAUCAUAUGUUGCCAAAUUUAGGUUUUUCAAUUCCUUAUAGAUUGUAACCCUAAUUGUGUGAUACAUUGGUAACCCUAAUCUAUUGCCCAAUGAGCACUUAACAUCUUUGUCUCAUGUGGACCCCUCCUAUGAUUGAUGCAAACAACUGUUUAUGCAAACAAUGGGCUGGUUUUAUUGCUGGUUUAGGCAAACAAUUAGAGAAGCAUAUGGUUGCAAUGAUUUAGUCUGCAUCAAUUUUAUUAGACCUCUCCUUGCACCAAUUGGAGAGCUCCACUAAACACAACAUGAUAACAACUAAACUAAAUGAAUGAGAACACAUAUUUAGUUUAGCCCACAUAUUUCAUCUCUAUGUUAAGAAAGAAUCCCACCAAUUCCCCAAUCUUAUAAUCUCAACAUUCUCAAACUCUUUACCGUAAAAAAAAAAAAACAUUCUCAAACUCUUUCUCUCCCCCUUUCCAUCCAUCUCGUCCUUCACAAUCACAACCACCACCACCACCACCUGUGAGGGAGUGGCCGAGUGAGAGAAGAUUUGCCGGUGGGAGACAGCGAGUUCGGCCAUGGAAGAGAGAGUUCCGAUCGAUAUAGAGAGUUCCAGUGGCGUUUCGUGGUAACACGGCGGUGUUUGGCGACGGCGGUGACAGAGCUUCUUUCUCCUUUUUUCCUCUGCCUCUAUGAAAGAGGCAGUUCAGUUUCAAUUUUUGGGUUCUCAAUUUUAGGUAAAAGAUGAUUUGUUGAGAAUGGUUAAAUAAAUCACCUUCAAACAAACUCCAUCCUUGCUGAUUUUUAUUGUGUAUGUGUUGUUGGUGUUGGAAUUGCAACAAGGUAACUAGAAUCAAAGUGUGAUAAGAUUAAGGUAACUAAUCACAAAGUGAUUUGAAGGAGUAUCAAAGAUACUAGAACAGCCAAGAAACAUCUGGCGCGGAGAUAAAAAGUAGACUGUGCAUUUUGAUGUCAAUUCAAUGGUGAGAAAUUUCUUUCAAAUCUGCUUGGUGUGUGAAAAAAGGUAACAAAUCUAUUCCUUUAUGAUAUGUUUGAUGUGUAGAAAAAGGUUAGAAAUUUAUUUUCUUCAAUUGUUUAUGAUUCUCAUCAUAUUAAAAGGUAGGAAAUUCAAAAUUGUUUUGAAUUCAUAACUAACUUGAUGGUUGGUGUCUUUGCAGGUAUAACACAUUUGUUUUACUCAUACUGGACUUAUUCCAUAUUGAGUUUUGUUCCUUAUUUUUUAUUUUGUUCCUUUUUUAGUUUGUAAAUGUUAUUGUUUUCCCUUUUUAUCCUCUCAUUUUGUCCUUUCUUAAGGUAAUUUUCAGAGAUUGUUUUAUACUAUAGCAGAUUUUUGUUUAUACUAUUUAUUUGUAGAAAUUGGUUUAUACUAUAGCAGGUUUUGAAGACUAUAACAGAUAAAGUGGGCACUGAUGGUUUCUUUCAUAAUUGAAUGGGCAAUUAUCACAUCAAUGAAUUCACGGGGCUGUGCAACUACACUUUAAGGAAUGAAAUAGGAGUGACAAUUUUGGUUGCUAGAGGUGAACCUAUAUCAUGUUGAAUAAAUAUCAUAUUGUAUAAUUUUCCUUACGUUACCUCUUUGGUUCUUAUGCAACACUUAGAUCACUUAGAUGCAUGUAGAUCUUUUUAAUUUUGUUGUCCUUGGUGACAUAAUUUUUCUGGAUAUACUCAUGAUUUGUUUAAACUUUGCUGUAUGCAUUCAAGAAUAGAUCAAUAGAUAUAGAAUCGGCUAUAUAGUUAAAUGAUUGACUCACAUUUAAUAUGUUUGCAACUAUUUAAUUAGCUAAUGUAAGGUAAUGUAAUUGUGUUGUGGUUGUAGGCUAGCUAACAAAUGAAAGAAUGGUUGCAUUGCUCUGUUGAUGCUUGCAAGAUGCAGUAAAGAAAAGAAUACAAGGUAUAAAAUUUUGCUUAACCUUAACCUUUAUGUUUCAAAAUGUUCCUGAAUGUGUGAUAUGAAUUUCCUAAGAUUGACGAUGAGGUGAUAAUCAAUAAUGUCAUGUUUUUUAAAGUAACAUAGUAUUUAUGGUUUGUGGUCAUAUUCUAAUUGACAUUAUUAGAUACUUUUGAUUUAAAAGAUCAAUCAUGAUAUAUUCUAAAUGACUUAUCUUUUCCUGGUGUUUAGGCUUUUGUGAUGAGUGUAGCCAUGUGUGUAGCUUUCAAGUUUUCAAUAGUUUCAAUAGAGAUUUUAAAAGAAUACUCUUGAUUCCUUUUGUCAAAAGUGUUUUCAAUGAUAUGGAAUGUUUUCAUUUACUUUGAUAUUUUCCUUUAGCAUCAAUAUGUUGAUUCUAUUACUAAUUAAUUUAACUGCAACUUAGUUUAUAAAAAAUGCUAUGAAAGAGUUUGAGAAAAAUGGCAAGAUAAGUACGGUCAUGGAUGCCACUCUUGAAGAUUUGGAGUAAGUUUGUUUGUCUAACUUGGUUAGUGCACUUUAUUCGAUCAUUGUUUCCAGUAUACUUAUGCAUUUGGUUCUUUUUCAUUGUAGAGGGAAUAUGAUACACUGUACUUUAUGGGAUGAUCAUGCUGUGAAAAUGCAGCAAUUUCCGGAUAAUCAGGACCCAUCACUCGCUGUAAUAGUUAUCCUUCAGCUGUGCAAACUUAAGAAGUAUCUUGGUGGAUUUGUUUUUCAUGCUCGAUUAGGUUCCAUGGGAGUUUCAUGUUGAAGCUGCACAAGAAAUUGAUCAAUCUCAAGGUUCAUGUGUGCAUAAUAUACUUAGCCGCGUUCACACUUUCCAUAUGGAAUAUGAUCCUCAUAGUACAUUAGCCAAACUACCUCAAUGUUUUGUUCGCGAUUUCGGGGACUUAAUUGAUGCAUAUUAUAAAAAAUUCUAAUGACAUAUGUACUUUGAUCGAGGGUGGUUGGUUCUUAGAAAUAUUUAUGACAUAUGGCUUAGUGUUUGGCUUAGCUUUACUUAUGUUAAUCCUAACUCCCCUUAGGCAUUUGUUGACUAGAACUGAUAGUGAUCCUAAACUUGGCUCAUUCACAUUGCUCAGAUCCUGUAAUGGUCAUGUACUGCCAAGAUCAUUUGUUCUUUAGUACCUCAAAAAAUUGACGGCUUAUGAUGUUGAAUCUCGAUUUUUGGUUUCGCCUUGGUAUGGAUUUGGUGAAUCUGCCUUCACAUUUACUUUUUCCGACUUGGUGUUGGUAGAUCAUAUUGGUGCUAGGUAUCCAUGUAGCAUAAAUGUUGGCGUUGAUGCUCAGGGUGAACUUGCUUGCAAGGUGUUUGGCGGUUGGGCGCAUUUAUGCAGAGGACAUCGCUUGGUCCAGGGUGACAAAGUUCGUUUUGUUCUUAAUGAACCUGCCGGUAAUUAUGUCAUGUAUGUCUGUGUUUAUCCUCAGAUAGGGAUAGAAACCACCCUUAGUUAUCCAUUGAAUGAUGGCUCUUAUUUGCCUUUGUAUGUCUCCCAACAGUAUUUUGUGGCUUACUCUUGACUUGUGUUAGUGUGGUUUGGUCACUUAGCUGUACUUUUUAAUGUAUUAGUGUCUUUGUUUCAAAUAUUUGGUACUCAAUGAAAUGUAUCCAAUCUUCAGUUAAUAACUUAUUACAAAUA